AGAGACCGGCGCACGGGUGCGUAACGCGUAUGCAAUCUACCUUUUACAGAGGGAUAGCCCAGAGAAAUUUGGAUUAAUACCUCAUAGCAUAGCAACUUCGCAUGAAGUCACUAUUAAAGUCACAACGGUAAAAGAUGAGCAUGCGUCCCAUUAGCUAGUUGGUAAGGUAACGGCUUACCAAGGCUACGAUGGGUAGGGGUCCUGAGAGGGAGAUCCCCCACACUGGUACUGAGACACGGACCAGACUCCUACGGGAGGCAGCAGUGAGGAAUAUUGGACAAUGGGCGCAAGCCUGAUCCAGCCAUGCCGCGUGCAGGAUGACGGUCCUAUGGAUUGUAAACUGCUUUUAUACAGGAAGAAACCCUGGUUCGUGAACCAGCUUGACGGUACUGUAAGAAUAAGGAUCGGCUAACUCCGUGCCAGCAGCCGCGGUAAUACGGAGGAUCCAAGCGUUAUCCGGAAUCAUUGGGUUUAAAGGGUCCGUAGGCGGUUUAGUAAGUCAGUGGUGAAAGCCCAUCGCUCAACGGUGGAACGGCCAUUGAUACUGCUAAACUUGAAUUAUUAGGAAGUAACUAGAAUAUGUAGUGUAGCGGUGAAAUGCUUAGAGAUUACAUGGAAUACCAAUUGCGAAGGCAGGUUACUACUAAUAUAUUGACGCUGAUGGACGAAAGCGUGGGUAGCGAACAGGAUUAGAUACCCUGGUAGUCCACGCCGUAAACGAUGGAUACUAGCUGUUGGGAGCAAUCUCAGUGGCUAAGCGAAAGUGAUAAGUAUCCCACCUGGGGAGUACGUUCGCAAGAAUGAAACUCAAAGGAAUUGACGGGGGCCCGCACAAGCGGUGGAGCAUGUGGUUUAAUUCGAUGAUACGCGAGGAACCUUACCAAGGCUUAAAUGUAGUUUGACCGAUUUGGAAACAGAUUUUUCGCAAGACAAAUUACAAGGUGCUGCAUGGUUGUCGUC
rnacentral:rRNA from 1 species